rnacentral:lncRNA from 13 species
UAAAUUUCUGAAGUACUGAGAUCAAAUAUUAGCAGAUUCACUCCGAAAGUCAUGUUUUCUCUCUAGAUUUCAACCAGUCAGCUAUUGAAGAGAUGGCAGGCAAUGAAUCUGGCUCCUUCUAUGGGAAGAAAACAGAAACACGUGCUGCUUGUCCGACUGAGGCAGGGGAAACAAGCUCCCUCUCCUGCACAAGACCUGUAGGGCUUGGCAUCUGUGAGCACUCCAGUAAGUAUUUAUUACUAAAUUCAGUUGUCAUUCGUCUAGAAUGUACUGGGGGCCAGCGCCUGUUUUUCUAAGCCUGUCUUAUUUAAUCUUUACCAUCACCUCAUGAUUUACUCUUAUCCUUGUUUUACAGUGAAGAAAUGGAGAUUUUUGGGGGGCUGAGUAAUUGGCCUGCAGUUAUAUAAAUGUGGAAAAGCAGGCUUCAGACUAAAGCACGUUUGACUCGAGAGCUUGUGAUGUUAAUCACUAUGCCAUCAUGCCCCCUUCCUUUUGUUUUAUG